UACGGGGGGAGCAAGCGUUGUUCGGAUUUACUGGGCGUAAAGGGCGCGUAGGCGGUCAGCACAAGUCAGUUGUGAAAUCUCCGGGCUUAACUCGGAAAGGUCAACUGAUACUGUGCGACUAGAGUGCGGAAGGGGCAACUGGAAUUCUCGGUGUAGCGGUGAAAUGCGUAGAUAUCGAGAGGAACACCUGCGGCGAAGGCGGGUUGCUGGGCCGACACUGACGCUGAUGCGCGAAAGCCAGGGGAGCGAACGGA
rnacentral:rRNA from 1 species